AUUUAAUUAGUAUAAACAAAGUACGUUUAAUUUCCAAUUAAAAAGUUUUUUAAAAAUUAAAUA
rnacentral:tRNA from 1 species